ACCAGCGCACGCCGUGUCGCGUCCGCAUGCAGUCGGACAGUUUGCUUGCUAUUUGAAGAAUGACAGUGUCAGCUAAAUUCUUAACACACAUUUCAGAUUCACAACUGACAGUAACCCGCAAUGUUUGAGCUGUGCACGUUGGGGCUGUGCACGUGUCCAGCUCAGGAACAGCCACGGAGAAAAAGAGGCGGGCUGACUGCUGGGUAACCCGCCGUUCCUCCUCUUCCUCUGCUGGUAGACCCCGAAGCUCCUCUCUCUACAUGAACAAACAAAGCUGGCUGUUUCUCAACCCCAUGGUAAUUUAACUCAACCUUGUUUAGCUGUCUGUGCACAAAAUGAACGUGCACGCUCUGCGCUCGCACGCUUUGUUAUUGUCCAAACUAAAUCAGAGAGGUUUUCCAGCAGGAUGUUGGGUAGGUCUGCACCAGAACUGCCAGCUUCAUUUUCCAGCCGUGGGCUCGGUGGAAACGGAACGGCUCGGGCACAGGAGCAGGAAACUGCUGCAGCACAGACUUCACCGUGAACGCGUGCUGACGGCGGCCUCAGAAGAACUCCUCUGACGGAUCUGCACGUCCAACCAUCGCAAAGAAAUACAACAAGCCGACUAAUUUGAGAGGUUUGGAGAGCCGGCCGCUUCCAGCUGUGAUUGAUUAGAUGUAUGACGAUCCCUGGAAAACAGCGUUCCCGUCCGCAGCUACAUUCCAGCAGCCUGAGCCUCUCCAUGAAAGAGGCUUUUGAAAGGAAAGAGGCCCCCGCUCCAUCUUCUGGGCUUUUCUCUAAGGGGCCUGCUGGCACACCUCACCACUUUCCUCCCCCCUCCUACCUCCUGCAGCUCAGCCCUCACACUUUAUUCGCCUCCACUCCACUUCAGAGGGCUAAUGUAGAUCUAAGACUUUCAGAAUGAACCGAUUUUUUAAUCACGUUUGCCACACCGGCAUGAGGCGGAGCUAAGUCUGUCCAGGUUAUUGUUGCACACCUUUCAGCCCAUCCCUUCAGGGGUCGCCACAGCAAAUCAGCUUUCACUGAUCCGCACAGGUGGUUUGGCAGAGUUUUUUUAUGCCGGAUCCCCUUCCUAACACAAUCCUGUAUUGUAUCUGGGCUGGGGACCGGCACAACUGAAGCGGGAAACGAGCCCUGGUUUCCCGUUCCAACCUGCUGCACACGCCCCUUUGACUCUUGCCACCUACUUUCCCUCAUCUGUCAGUCCGUCCAUCACCACGGCAAACAAGAAGGCGCUCGAGGCUGAUCCUUGGUGCAGUCCCCCCUCCACCUUGAUCUUCUCCUGCAGAACAUGUUCUCCAGCUCUCAUCCAUGUCCUGAACAUCUCCAACGUUCUUCUCUGCUGCUCUGGUCUUCCUCAUCCAAACCACAGCUCCUCUCUCUGGAUACUGUCGUAGACUUUCUCUGGAUCUACAAAGACUCAAUGCAGACUAGGCCUGCACAAUAAAUCGAAAUUUAUCGUUUUUCGCGAUAUCAAGCUGUAAAAUAUGCAUAUCGCAAAAGUCAUUGAAAAUUGCGAUAAAUGGUAACUUUGACUGUGAUGAAUCUAUCUUAUGGCAGCUUCAAGUAUUUAACAAAUCAAAAAAAUCCAUUUGACCAAUCGGAUGGACGCCUUCACAUUGUUGACCAAUUGGAUGGAGCUACUUUAUGUAGGAUGUUCGCCUCCCAUGUAGACGAGGGUCAUUUGGAGUAUAAUUUAAGGAAGAGCACACACGAAGCAGCAACCCCUCCACCCCUAAAAUGUCUAAGCACCUGCUUCUCAUCUCGCCAUAAAUUCCCUCAAAAGAAGAAAAAAAACCUUGGAUAAAUCCUGCAGUUAUGACACCACUCCGGCCUAAAGAAACAAUAAAACUGAACUGCAGCAACGUAAGAAAAAGAAGAUACUACAAUCGGAAGACCCAAAAAGCAGACGGACCAAUGGGAGUCCCAGUGACACAGGUUCCUGAAAGAGCCAACAGGUGGUUUCUGGACUACGUUGGAUCAGAUGGCUGCUUUGGUUUCAGCUGCAGGAGUUUAACCCGGCGAUGAAGACAAAGAUGAGCAGCGGUUAUCAGAAAGACUGAGCAUCAUUACCUGGGGUGGGGCUGACUGAGGACAGAAACCAUUCAAAGAAGACAUUUGAUGGGAACAGUGGGAUGAGUUUGGUCUGAAGUGAGAACAGACGGGUGAUGGAUCACAGAACCGUACCGACAGCUCCACAGUCAUCUGCAGACAGUCCAGUUAGCAGCAACUAUCCAUGCUAUGGUCUGCUUGUGUGGCGGAAUCAAUGAAAGGGACAAAAAGACAAGCUGGUGAAGAGAGCUAGCUCUGUCCUGGGCUGUCCCCUGGACUCAGUGUGUAACACUCUACAGUUCAUCAUUCAUAGUCUUAAGAUUAUUGUCGUGGGUUGACUAUGGAACACAAAUGAACAAAUGAACAACCAAUUAAAUCAAGAUUUGUUCUUUAACCAUCAUAAUUUCAUUGAACCCAGUCACACUCCAUGAAUCGCGCUCCCGAUUACAUUAUAGGUCCGUGCACGCGUUUACGAUGAUUCCCUAUUGUCCGUCUAGCGACUCCCACCUGUGUGCGCGUAAGCGCUCCAACGUAAACAAUUCCUCCCAAA